rnacentral:ncRNA from 1 species
CCAAAAGCUCAGUCCUCGCUUUACUAUUAGUUUUAACUAGAUUUACACAUGCAAGUCUCUGCCCACCAGUGACAACGCCCUAUAUUAUAGGAGCCGAUAUCAGGCACAACACCUAUGUUAGCCGACCACAUCUAGCCAAGCCACACCCCUAAGGGCCUGCAGCAGCGAUUAACCUUAUUAAUAAGCGCAAGCUUGACCUAGUCAUAGUUAAAAGAGCUGGUAAACCCUGUGCCAGCCACCGCGGUUAAACAGGAAGCCCAAAUUAAUAAACACACGGCGUAAAACGUGAUCAAGAGACAUCAUCCCACCUAAGACUAAAAGCCCACUCGGCUGUAAUACGCCUCAGUGAGACAACACACACAGUCAAUCGAAAGUAGUCUUAACCACAAUGACUAUCCCAACAUCACUACUGCUAAAACACAAACUGGGAUUAGAUACCCCACUAUGCUUAGCCACAAAACUUGACCAACUACUACAUCAUCUGCCAGAGUACUACGAGCGUCAGCUUAAAACUCAAAGGACUUGGCGGUGCCCCAAACCCACCCAGAGGAGCCUGUUCCAUAAUCGACAAUCCACGCUCUACCCAACCAUCUUUUGCAAUCAGCCUAUAUACCACCGUCGUCAGCUAACCUUUUGAAAGCAUCACAAUUAGCAAAACUGCAACACGCAAGCACGUCAGGUCAAGGUGUAGUACAUAAGAUGGAGAGAAAUGGGCUACAUUUUCUCUAAUGAGAAAACUACGAAUAGUGUAAUGAAAAACAACUUGAAGGCGGAUUUGGCAGUAAGAAGAGACCAUCAUGUUCUUCUUAACUCGGCUCUGAGGCGCGCACACACCGCCCGUCACCACCUCUCAUCGAUAGGCCAAACCAAAAUAAAUAAUAACAUAAAGAAUUUUAGAUGAGGAAAGUCGUAACAUGGUAAGCGUACUGGAAAGUGCUCUUGGAUUAAC